GAUGAACGCUGGCGGCGUGCCUAAUACAUGCAAGUCGAGCGAACAGACGAGGAUCUUGCUCCUCUGACGUUAGCGGCGGACGGGUGAGUAACACGUGGAUAACCUACCUAUAAGACUGGGAUAACUUCGGGAAACCUGAUCUAAUACCGGAUAAUAUAUUGAACCGCAUGGUUCAAUAGUCAAAGACGGUUUUGCUGUCACUUAUAGAUGGAUCCGCGCCGCAUUAGCUAGUUGGUAAGGUAACGGCUUACCAAGGCAACGAUGCGUAGCCGACCUGAGAGGGUGACCGGCCACACUGGAACUGAGACACGGCCCAGACUCCUACGGGAGGCAGCAGUAGGGAAUCUUCCGCAAUGGGCGAAAGCCUGACGGAGCAACGCCGCGUGAGGGAUGAAGGCCUUCGGAUCGUAAAACGCUGUUAUUAGGGAAGAACAAAUGUGUAAGUAACUAUGGAGGGCUUGACGGUACCGAAUGAGAAAGCACCGGCUAACUACGUG
rnacentral:rRNA from 1 species